rnacentral:rRNA from 1 species
AUACGUAGGGGGCGAGCGUUGUCCGGAAUUAUUGGGCGUAAAGGGUUCGUAGGCGGUCUUUUAAGUCAGAUGUGAAAGACAUAGGCUUAACCUAUGUAAGCAUUUGAAACUGAAGGACUUGAGUUAAGGAGAGGAAAGUGGAAUUCCUAGUGUAGCGGUGAAAUGCGUAGAUAUUAGGAGGAAUACCAGUGGCGAAGGCGACUUUCUGGACUUAUACUGACGCUGAGGAACGAAAGCGUGGGGAGCAAACAGGAUUAGAUACCCUGGUAGUCCACGCCGUAAACGAUGAGUGCUAGGUGUUGGUGGGAGACCAUCGGUGCCGCAGCUAACGCAUUAAGCACUCCGCCUGGGGAGUACGUACGCAAGUAUGAA